CAAACAAAAAACUUUGCCACCACUAGCCCACUAAAACAUGAUCUGGCUUACACUUCAUUACAUCGUUUCCUCUCCUCCAUUCUAUAUGCUUUUUCUUUUUAUUUUUCUUCUCUUCUCCGUUUCACCUUCGUGCCUACAUUUGUUCUCUCUCUGAAAAAACCCUAGCCUCUCUCUUUAUCUCUAUCUCUCUAUGUCGCACGCCGAGGCACCACCACCAUCAACCCACAUCCUCACACCAUCACCAAGCCUUCACUUUCUGUUCGAACCCCCUCUGCCGCAAGCUUCUCCGUCCAAAUCUCUUGGUCGCCGCCACUGCUCUGUCCUCUCUUCUCGGUCUCGCUUUCUCUGGCCAAUUCUUGGCUAAAGAGAAACUAGAUCUCGCCGCCAGCCAUGACAGUUCCAGUUCCAGUCGUCUUUUCCAGCUAAAAAUUUCAGGCCGAGUCUCUCUCUCUCUCAUUUUUCUGAUCUUUCUCUCGGAUUUCCAGAAGACGAUCAAUCCUUCUAGAUUAAUAUCAAUGGCUUUCUCUCCAAGUUCUUCAUCCAACAGGGUGGACAGUACAUCAUCAAGGACAAUAAUGAACAGUCAUGGUUCUUUAGCAAAGCUGGAAUUGAGUGAUGGCAAUAGCCUGUAUGCAAAUUAAUGAGUGAGGAUGAUCUUGUGAAAUCUGUAAAUAAUGCUUUAGAUUAUGGGCAUGGCCCUCAUCCUCAGUCUCGGUUAUUUGGUGGUGGAGACCUAUUUUCUUGGCUUAGAGCAAAUGUGACAUCAUCAACCAGUGAGUGUUUUAAAGUUCCACCGAAAGUGGUCAAGUUGGUUUCAGGAAGAAUGGUGUUUCCAUUAUCUUUACUAUGCAUCAACGCAUGUAGUUCUUAUUGGUGAUUCAGCACACACUAUUCAUCCCUUGGCUGGUCAAGAAGUGAAUUUGGGCUUUGGGGAUGCUUUUGCUCUUUCAAAAGUGAUUGCUGAGGAUGUUGCAGUAGGAUACGACAUCGGGCAUGUAUGUUAUCUGCUUUUCUCUUAGAAUAAAUAAGACACUUGAUUAUCAAGCGCAUAAAAAUUGAUUCUUGUAGUUUUUUCAGCCUUCCAUUGAAAUUUUUUAUUCCAUCUUGUUAUUCUCCAUCGCUUUUUGCAACAGUAUUACUGUAAUAUCUGAACUUGCAAAAUACGUUUGGACUUAAAUGAUCGGAUAUCAAUGUUUUCAAAUUUAUGUAUAGACCUCAAGUGUGUGUUAGAGUGGAUUAAACUCUUGACAUUCAGAUGAACCUCAAGAAGCAAAUUUAGUUUGAAAUGUGUAAAAGACAACUUAUUAGAAUUGAAACAAAAAAGAACAUUUAACACAUGAACUUUCAUGAAUAGAAGGCCAACAAAAUUUUUAAGACAGUAUUAAGUCGAAAUAUAAAUAUUUAAAAUUAUGUAAAUACGUAUAUAUGCCAUCUGAAUUUUCAAGUAAAACAUGAUAGUUCUACUUGCUGAUGUUUUUCACAUAGAUCUAAUAGAUCCUUGAGUAAUAGAUUUAUUAGAACAGAAGUAUAUAGGAAUGUAUAAAGGAGAAAUCACCCUUGUAAUUUAGUAGUUGGGGAAGAAAGAGAUUGAAUAGUCAUCAAUAGCCUUUCCCCUAGUUUUUUCUUACAAACCUCAUAUUAGCUAUGGUGAAAUUAUAAACAAGUUUGUUGUUUAGUAUUCUGUUUCAUUCUACAUGGCUGGUCUUAUUAUUGGCUUACAAAUUUCUUAAAUACCAUGUACUAUCCAUCUAAAUAGUUAGUAUGAAAGAAUUUUUUUUGCUUUUCAUCUCUUAUCAAAUGUGAGCUUAUUGACCAAAAGGAACCUUUUCUAGCUUCCUCUCCUUCGCCUUUUCCUCCCCCCUACUUCUUUAAGGCUUUUUAAUGUGUUCGUUAUGUGACACAAUUAAAUUACUAAACUUUAUAUAUAUAUAUUUUUUUAUUACAGAAUGUGAUUGAAUGAUCGAUUGUUAUCGUUAAGAUAUUGUACGAACAAGGGGGAACUAAUAUAUGUUCAAAAUUGAUGGUUAUGUUCUUAUUUUGCAAAAGAUUGAUUAUUUCUUCUCGAAUUUAGUGGUUUAGUUUUUAUUCCUUAUUGACGUCAUCAUAUUGGAUGGCUCGGAACUUUUUUAAUAUUCAUAGUGGCUUUAAUAUAUAUUUUUUUGGGAUACGGUACUAGACUUAUGUUAUUGGUUUAAUGAAAAGUAAUGGAUUUUUGUUAUUUUUAUUAAUA